CGCGCCCGUCUGCUGUGUUUACGUUUGCCAGGCGUUUACGGGCGUGGACUAAUCAUUGUCAUCAUAAGUGACAUGUCGUGUCUGUUUUAUUUUAAUUCUGUCAGCUGUAUAUAUCGAACAUUUUAACCAGAAAUUCAUAGUUUCAGGGGCAUGGCUGUAUUGACAAUGCUUGUUUUUAGACUCAAGUGAUAUGACUAGAUUCUAUGCCCAGUUGUCUUAUGUCAGAAGUGGUCAUGAAUCGACAGUUGACAUAUUUUCUGUUGAAACUGGAUUUUCUAUUUUUUUGUUAUGAGUAUUUACAUGAUUCCUAACUAAAAUGCCUUUUUUUAAAAUUAUUCCCAUCCCAGGUUUCAGAUCGGUUAUUUUCUUGGACAUUGAUUGAUUGUAUUCCCAAAUGUCCUAAAAAAAUCAAAUGUUUGGUAAUGGUAUUGAAGAAUGUCCUGUGAAAAGUUGAUUAAAUCAUGAAAAUGUCUAAAUGCCCUUUUGUCGUCAGCAAAGUCACGCCACACCCUUUUCGGAAAAAGAUAAUGAAUACAAUUAGGCCCUACUGUCUUUUUAGACUGCUUUAUAUUAUUGAGAUAGUAAAUUUAAUUAGAUUGAUAUUUCAGUUAACAACAGCAUCAUUUCAAAAUUGCAGAUUUCAAAAUGAAGAUUAAUUUUUGUACCAAUAUAUCUUUUAUUAUUUUCAAGGCUUCUGACAUUGGAAUGCAACAACACACUUGAGAAGCAUGAGCACCCGAUCCACAUGGAGGAACUCUGUGAUCGAUUCAGCCUAGUACAGUCAGCAUUAGCCUACCUUGACAAUACCGAUCACCUCUACUACGUGAAAACAACUUGCUGUAAAUACAGCUCGGGAGAGGAGCUUUUGGUGUAUCAUUUUAAACUUGAUGUGGACCCAGCUGAACUUACAGAAUUAAAUGCUGCACUCGGAAAUUUUGUGCUUUUGAAACCACUAAAAGCCACUGAGAUCUUUCAAGAAAUAGUGUUCCAAACAGCUCAGGAGUUGGAGCUUCUACCAAGUGACACCACCCUGUCCCAGAUCUCUGUUUUUCUGAAACUUGCCAGCUUGCCAAGUCCACUAGAAGGUUGCAGAAUCAAAUGCAUGAAAGAUUUAUCAAGGAAUAUUGGCAGCUGUAACUAUGUCAAGUUUGAUGGUGUUGUCACUGGAGUUACAGGAAUUUCAAAAUAUACGCGGAGCACACGUUACGUGUGUCCCCACCCUGCAUGUGAGGGGAAUGAGGGACACAAGUUCAUCCGAGUCCACAUUGCUGGAGCCUCAGAGACACAGACAAUAAGAAAGGACUUCAGAUGUAGUGCAUGUGGUUCAGUCUUAGAAGAGGACAAGAGCUCCAGAAUUAUAUCAGAUAAAUUAUUAGCAGAGGUUGUUCAUGAAGAUUGCUUCCAUGAUGUCAUCAAUGCCAAGACCAGACAGCGAGUCCAGGCAGUUCCAGUUUAUGUCAGAGAUGAACUGUGUGAGAAGAUUCAGAUAGGACAGAAGUACCAGAUAAUCGGCAUGGUGAGGAAAGACAUCACUGGUGAGGUGGUCAACCUUGCCCUGGAGGCCAAUAACAUUAUAGAGAUAUCACAUAUUGUGCAUCCCCUAACACCAUCAUUUCUGCCUGAGAGCCUGGUCUGCCUGUACAGUGACAGGAGAGACUCACCAUGGAGCUUCAGCCUCAGCCUUGCCUAUGUGUUUGGGGGAGAAAUUGCCCCACCAGGAUCAUACCUACAACUAAAGCUUGGACUAAUGCUGAGUUUAGCGACUGUGUCAGAGGAGAAACCACUUCACAUACUUGGCAUCGGCAGUGAAGUGGAGACGAUACAGAGACUCAUGGACUAUGGCCGCCAGUUCUGUGACAGGAGUGUGUGUCACAUGGCAGGCUGUCAUCUCACUGGUAAAGUCAUCAGUGACAGGCAUGAGACUGCCCCAUACUUCAUAGAAGGUGGCUCCUUGUUGCUGGCAGCAGGAGGAGUGUGUUUCCUGGGGGAGCUGGGCAGACUUAAGAAGAAGGUCCAGGAACAUCUGCAAGCAGUACUUGGCAGUACCAAGGUGUAUCUGGAGCUGGGUUCUAAACACACUGGUGGCCUCCCUCAGCGCACGGUUCAACCCCUCCCAUGCCAAAUAUGGGGGUACUCGGACAGCAAACCAAACAAAGGAAAAACGUCUGAUGACCUGUUCAGUCAUCAAGACUCAGGAAUCAUCCCUAAGCCAAUGCUGGAUGGGUUUGGGUGUGUCUGUUACACUGACAUUGAUGACACAGUGAGUAGAGAGGAGAUUGACACCCUCGCAGCCUGCCAGAUUCUGGUUCAGUCCAUGGAAUCCCAGCAGAGGGAUAACAGACUACCCGUAUCUUCUCACGACUUCAGACAGUUCUUCCAGUACCUGAGCAGCUACAGGACCAAGAUGACCAGUGAAGCCCUGCACCUGUUACAGAUGUAUUACCAGGCCAGCAGAAAAGCACGAGCUUGUUCAGACGCUAGCACAGGUGUUCCUGUCACUGCCAUGCAAACACUAACUACAGCCAAUUACCAAUUUAAGAAAUAAAGGACCUUAAUGAAGUCAUUGUCUCCAAUUUACAACAACAGCUUGGACUGCUUCUCUUCACGCUGUAGGUGUUACACUGUGAAGUAAUUACCCCAUUGUUCGUACCUGUUAAUUGGAUAGCAGCUUAGUUGUAAAAACAUUCUCUCUGUUAUCAUUCAGUGCUUUAUUCCAUUCUUCUUACUGGAACCAAUUUGUUGGUUUGGGAUAAGGAUUAGUGAUAAUUAAUCUUUGAUCUCAGUACUAAUCCAUGAUUGUUUGUGUAGGCAAGACUUGGUGUGUCUUUGAUCUUACCCAUAUGGUAAAACCCAGACUAACAUCAAAGUACCUGGGUGAUAGCCUAUCUAUUAAUGUCUUGAGAAUACAAUGUCAUUAAAAUGUGUUUUUAACACCAAAUCUCUGGUAUAUAUUUGGUGAAAUGGGUUGCGAUAGCAUUUGUAACUCGAGAGGGGAGCAACCAAUUCUGAGUAUAUUUACACCACUGACUUAGAAGUGCUCCCAAAGACUCACCCCUGUAGGAUGGAUGCUGUUGCUGCUGCAGAUGAACUAAGAUGUCUUCUCAUUUCUCACAACACAGCCACCCGACAGCUACAAUCCCUAGAUAAUGAGAUCAGUCGACUGACCAGUAAGCUUGAGACACUGCCGACAGCAUGUCAUCUCCCACUAACCCAGCGCGUGUCAGCCCUUGAAGGAGUCCGCAGGAUGUUCUCUGUCUUCUGCUCACUCAAGUGGCAGGAAGUACAGGCCUAUGUCGGGGAGAUCUCUUCAUCACUGGAUGAGCAACACAUGGACCUAGACGCUGAUGUUAGUUUUGAGGAAGAUGUGAGAGAUGGACAUCAAGUCACAUGGACAUCUUGUGUUUCUCACAGGGGACAGUAGCUGUUCUAACAUCGUGCUGUGAAUUAGGGUUUAUUUAGCAAAAGUACAGUGCGUGAUAUCAACCUGCAGUGUGUGUCCAGGUCUGGAGUAGGCAAACCAGUGAUACAUGGAACAGACAGACAAUAAACUUGCAAGGUUUUCAACUACCAGAUGAUCCCAGUCUGUUACCUUACACUUGUUAUGGUGUCUGAUUCCAAAAGAAUCGGAAGGUUGAUUUUAUGAACAGCAGUUGUGUCACUAGUUCUACAUGGCAUGUAUUUGUUUUGGAAGUGUGACAGGAGGCAUUGCUAAAUAUUAUGGUGUAUCUGAUAUACAGUACCAAAAGCCAGAUUGGAUUUAGGACAACAUGGGGAUAUGUUGGCAGUGUUUGUGUGUAUGGCAGCACUAUCUCCAGUGGUAAUAUUGGGCUUUGUUACUGCUUGUCAUAAAACUAAAUAUAUGGUCACAUAAGUACUGGCCUUAGAAGACACACAACCAGAUAUGUGACAUUGAAGGACUCUGGCUAUGAGACUGAGUUCAGAGACUUACUGAAGCUGUUACCGCUGAAAUUGUAAAUACUCUUUGAUAGUGCUUUGAAACAAGGUGCAAUCGUGAUUAAUGCUUUUGAUUACUUUAGUGCUUGAAUGGAAUAAACUAUGACAUACUUACAUAUGAUUGUUUUUUAGUCUGUCAGGAUAUAACAGUUUCUGAAUAAAUGUGCUGUGGUAUUAAAUACUAAAAUGUGGCAAACAUAGUUUCUAUAUACCUUAAGAACCUAAAAUUGAAUUCAUCUCAAUUAUUGUACUUAAAAAACAAUGUUAACACUUCUUUGAACUUAUUUUAAACAUUUUAAAUAGUAUGUGUGCACCAGUUGCCUUCUUUGUAUUAA
rnacentral:misc_RNA from 1 species